ACAUUGGUGGCUCAGUGGUAGAUUACUCGCUUUCCGCGUGUGAGACCUGGGUUUGAUUUCCCAGCCAGCGCA
rnacentral:tRNA from 1 species